GGGCAACGCGCCGGGCGCGUCUGAUCGUGCGCUCAGCCUGAGCUGUCAGACCUGAUAAAAGCAGCGAGUAAAGAACUCGCUUAAAUGCCGAUGCAGCACUUGCAGGAAAUGGCUUCGGUCUGGAAAAUGGUGGCAGGCGAUGGUGUCACUCUGUCUCCAGUUCAACUGUGGAAGAGGCAUUUCCCUCACAUUCCUGGUCUUGAUCUCAAGUUGUGUUUGCUGCUGAGGAGGACAGGUCCUUCCAGCUCAAUGUGCUAGGCCCUUGCUUCUCUUUUCCUUUCCAUCCAAGAAAGACAAAAAUCCAGCUAAGGAAAAAGUAUGGGACAGAUAACCAGACUGCACCAGUAUAUCUUCACAUGAAGAAAGAAGAAAUGAAACUUCCCAGAAGUUAAUGCUUGUGAACUUCUAAGAAACUAGAACAUUAAAGCUGUUAUAUACUAUCAUAGAACACUGGAUAGAUACCAAACAAAAAUUGUCCCAACAAGUUUACAUUUGCAGCAUGGAAAAAGAAGGAAGCUGCAUAAUUCAUAUUCUACAGUUUACAGAAAACGUAAAAUGUUUUGACUCCAAAUCAAAUAUUUUGGCUUUUUGCCAUUUAUCAAGUAUUCUGCUCAUAUCACUUAAGACAAUUUAAUGACAACAAGAAUGCUUACAGAAAGAGGCAAUGUUGGCUUUCAUUCACUGGGAAAUCAACUUUGCUGGUGAAAAAUUACUAAAACGUAUACAAAAGAUUUACAGGAAUAAAAAUAUGGUAUUAUACUGAUGCAAGUAUAGUUUUGAAUAUCCAUUUAAAAUCAAUAUGUUAUGUUGCAAAAUAAAUGUUAAUGUACCUUGAAAAGUAAAGCCCUGUGAUAGAACGUCCCUUUUUUGAUUUUCCCGAUAGGCACAAUGUUGCAUUUCAGUUCAAAUUCUAUUUCACUUAUGUGAAGUUCCCAGCUGAAGUCAUGUAGUUUGUCUCUUUCAAUAGAGCCACCCAUCCUGUCUGCAACAAACCUGUUCCAAAUGCAUACUGGGAUCAAUUACAUCGACAGUUCCUCUUGUAUUUAUCACAAAAAUGUAGCAAAAUGAAAUGUAUACAACCAGUAAGUGAAUGAAAUAUGAGAGUAAUACUCCCUCUAUGUUUGCUUAAUUUUUUUAAUUCAGUAAUUGGUAUUUUAAAUAUGCUUACUAUAAAUAUAGAUAACCAUAACUCAGGUCAUUCAGAUUUGUCACAGACCUAAAACAAGGUG